rnacentral:tRNA from 1 species
GCCGAGAUAGAUUAGCCCGGGAGAUCGCGCGGCUGAAGACCGCGUUGUCGAGUGUUCAAAUCGGCUGGGGA